UUAACUGACGCUAAAGCUCGAAAGUGCGGGUAUCGAACAGGAUUAGAUACCCUGGUAGUCCGCACGGUAAACGAUGGAUGCCCGCUGUUGGCGAUAUAUUGUCAGCGGCCAAGCGAAAGCGUUAAGCAUCCCACCUGGGGAGUACGCCGGCAACGGUGAAACUCAAAGGAAUUGACGGGGGCCCGCACAAGCGGAGGAACAUGUGGUUUAAUUCGAUGAUACGCGAGGAACCUUACCCGGGCUUGAACUGCCAGCGAACGAUUCAGAGAUGAUGAGGCCCUUCGGGGCGCUGGUGGAGGUGCUGCAUGGUUGUCGUCAGCUCGUGCCGUGAGGUGUCGGCUUAAGUGCCAUAACGAGCGCAACCCCUUUCUCCAGUUGCCAUCAGGUAGAGCUGGGCACUCUGGAGACACUGCCACCGUAAGGUGUGAGGAAGGUGGGGAUGACGUCAAAUCAGCACGGCCCUUACGUCCGGGGCUACACACGUGUUACAAUGGGUGGUACAGAGAGUCGGUCGCUGGCAAUAGCGAUCCAAUCCUAAAAGCCAUCCUCAGUUCGGAUUGGGGUCUGCAACCCGACCCCAUGAAGCUGGAUUCGCUAGUAA
rnacentral:rRNA from 1 species